rnacentral:ncRNA from 7 species
AGGCCCCGGGUUCGAUCCCCGGCAUCUCCAC